CCUAACCGGCUGAGACAGAGAGAAGGAGAGGGAACCGCGACUCCUGAAUCCCGUCCUCGUGCCGUGUCUCCGCCCGCCGCCCGCCGCACCACAAUCCCGACACCCCUCCGUCCGCCGACCGCCGCCCACCAACCCAUCAUGCCGCCGCCCGCCGGACCCUUCCGCAAGGGGUUUUGCCGUCUAUCUGCGGCUCUAAGCUCCACAGUUGGCCCUUGCGGCCUUGCCCCUUGGCCGUCGGAGGCGGGUCUUGGCGUUGGCCACUGGGCAGCUGUCCGCCAGGGCACCUAUGGCCUGCCCGCAGCAGCAUUGGCAUCGUGGCGUUGUGGGAAACAGGGUGGGCACCGCAGCACGCAGGAGCUGAGCGCAUUCUCCUCUUGUUGACCAGGCACCAGCAGUCGAGCUUCUAAGCCCCCUGAACUGCCGAACUGGAGAAGUGGAAUAAAAAUGUUCCAGCAUGCUGAAAGCUUACCCAUGAGGUUGUUGGAGGAAACCGAGAUACGUUCCAGCCGUAUUAAACUUGUAAGCGACGGAAGUUGUCCAGAUAAACUAGAAUUUGUACAAUCCAGUACGGCCAAGUACGUCAGAUUGCUGAGCUCCCAAGGCAGGCCCCCAGAGAAUUUGUUAUCAUCGAGGUAUAAUUCACUCAGUAACGAGAGAUUCCCUAUGGAGUUUGGAAUACCACCAGAGAGGUUCGUGGAGCUAAGAUCUAGAAACCUGAGAUUUUUUAGUUGAGUGAUCCCAAGCGGAAACGUUCCCUCGAACAAAUUUGAAGAAAGGUCAAGGACUCUCAAAUGUGGGAAGCUAUGAGCAGAGAACAGAUUAGAGAUAUUGCCGUUUAACGUGUUGUGACUGAGAUGAAUCUCUCGCAGGGAAUGAAGUCCUGUAAAGGAAGGUGGGAUCGAACCAGAAAGAUUGCAGCUCUCUAACAUGAGGACUCGAAGAUUGGUCAAUCUCUCAAGACCCGAUUCUGGAAGUUGUGAGCCGCAAAGGUCGAUGCUCUCCAGGUUGAGGUACCGGAGGGAGGUGAGGUUGAAGAGAGCAGGGUGAAGGCCACCACAGGCCUGCGGGCAACUGCUGGACAGGUCGAGGGCAGUAACUCUCCCUGUGAUACCGCCGCACCUGAUGCCCUCCCAGCGGCAACAAUCAGUGCCCGAUCUCCACGAUGACAACUUUGUAUGAAAUUCGCAGUUGUUUGUGGGAAAUGAGAAGGACCCCUUCAGCUGGAGGAGCGCCGCAGCCUCCUGCGAGCAGCAUAGUGCUGGGACUCGUGAGGUGCCUCUGCUGCUUGAUCUACUGCUAUUUGCUGACAGUGCAAGGGAGCAGCGUGGGAGCUGGUGGCUUGCCAAAAGGAGGAAGCUGAGACGAACAGCUAGAUGCAAAUGCAACCAUGAGGCGUGAUGAGUGCUUCUGCGAGCCAUUUUGCAGGUUUGCAGCUAGGCAAAUCAAGGAUGCUUGGACGGGAGGAUGCUGAUAUAUUGAGGCGAAUGCACUUGCCUAUCAUAUACUAGGAGAGGAGUGAGUGACUGGGAUUAAUAGAAUCAUCUCUAGCUGUGUAGUGCAGCACAAGGAGAACAUAAGCAACACUGUGCUUUUUCGUGGGCCACUGCAUUUAUAUGUAUCACAUGCAGGAGUACUCCGUUUACUUGACGUCAACGGUCAGUCAACUGAGGUUCAAGUCCCAGAUGGAUUUAUUUCAGGAUUUAAUGGCGCUAUGGUUUCAAUGGUAGGCAAUGUGCCCGUCGAUAGCGAGACGUCUAUGGUGACUUUGUUAAUCUCGAGAUUUGCCGAUCUAACUCGGUUCUUCAAAGGUGCUAACAUGUGAGUGCGUGCAUUCAUAAGGGUGAGUGUGCGUUUGUAUAUUUGAGCAUCUGCGUCUGUAACAGGAUCUAAAAAAAUAUACUAUAUAAUAAAUAUUAAUAUCUUUCAAUAUAAUUUUGGUUAAA